UGCCAAAGGCCUGAACUGCGGCUGAAGGAAUAUGACCUGUGUGUGCUGUUACCAUGCUGCCACAGCCUUCCAAAAGCUUCCUGCUGCCCGUGAAUAAAAUCUAACCUCUCUCUGGUUGGAAGCCCUCACUACAAGAACCCAAGCAGAAAGCCUGGAUUUGCCUAUACUCGGUCUUCAGGGGCUGGCUCAGCUCUGCACAUCCAUUGCGUGCCAUAUGAUAACAGACACCCAAGCCUCAGAGCUGACUGACUCUGUAAUGAAGACAACCAGUGAGAGAGAAGAUGGCAAGAUGAGGCAUUACUGAACUAAAGAGAAGCAACACUUAAAGGAGGAAGUAUUUAUUCCAGCCUGCAGUUCCAUGGCAGGGAAAGCACAUCACCGGGACGGAUCCUGUCUGUGGCAGUGGGGACUUGAGGCCCAGCUUGCUCACAUCUUGGAAGACCAAGAAGCAGAGAGUCCUGUCCAGACCAGGUUAGUUUUAAUCUAGCUUGGCCUUAUUUCUCUUAGGUAGGUCCUGUGUCCAGAAGGUUCCACAACUUCCCUAAACAUCCCCUUCAUCUGGGGAGCCAAGUGCUCAGACAUGAACCUGUGGAGGACGUGGUUUACAGUUAUACCAUAGUAGAGUGCCAGACAGCCUCUGAAGAUGCCAGGAAGCCAUUUAGACAGCCUCUGGAGAUGCCAGGAAGCCAAUUCCAUAGUAUGGACGGAUAAUAGGUCUGACCUUAGUGCUCUCACCACCCGCUGCCCCUCUUGCUAGAUUGUGUGACUCAAACUUCUCUGUAUUCAGAGAACGCAUGCGUAGGCCGAGGUCAUGGUGUACAGGGUGGAUUGGAGUAAGGGCAAUCGGACAGGAAAGAGGGCAGGUUCAAUGCAACCAACAAAUCCUAGAGCAAUCGCUUUAGGAGAAUGUAUACACAGUGGAGGGAGAAAAGCCGACCGGUGCUGCUAAAACAGCCCUCAUAUGCCGGAUCCUGAAGGAACGAUGAAGGUUUAAUUGUGAUGGCUCUUCCUUAAAGCUCACCGCAGCCAGCACUGCACAUCACCCUUGCCUGCUGUGUUGACGUUGGUAUGUUAUGCACAAUUGAAAAUCCUCUGGGCUUUGAGAAAAGCCAGAGAAGGCCUUGCAUCUGUGUCAUAGCUUGAAUGUAUCUUCUCCAAAUUCAUACGGAGUUGGAACACUUGGGAGGUGGUUAUGCUUUGAGAGCAGAGCUACCUGACAGGAAUCAGUGACCUUAUGGAAGAAAGUACAGGCUGGGAAUACGGUUGGAUGGUACAGUAGUUGUCUAGCAUGUACAAGGCAAGACCCUGGCUUCCACCCCUAGCAGUGCAGCAAGAGG